rnacentral:rRNA from 1 species
CACUGAACAUUGAGCCUUGAUGUGUAGGAUAGGUGGGAGGCUUUGAAGUGUGGACGCCAGUCUGCAUGGAGCCGACCUUGAAAUACCACCCUUUAAUGUUUGAUGUUCUAACGUUGACCCGUAAUCCGGGUUGCGGACAGUGUCUGGUGGGUAGUUUGACUGGGGCGGUCUCCUCCUAAAGAGUAACGGAGGAGCACGAAGGUUGGCUAAUCCUGGUCGGACAUCAGGAGGUUAGUGCAAUGGCAUAAGCCAGCUUGACUGCGAGCGUGACGGCGCGAGCAGGUGCGAAAGCAGGUCAUAGUGAUCCGGUGGUUCUGAAUGGAAGGGCCAUCGCUCAACGGAUAAAAGGUACUCCGGGGAUAACAGGCUGAUACCGCCCAAGAGUUCAUAUCGACGGCGGUGUUUGGCACCUCGAUGUCGGCUCAUCACAUCCUGGGGCUGAAGUAGGUCCCAAGGGUAUGGCUGUUCGCCAUUUAAAGUGGUACGCGAGCUGGGUUUAGAACGUCGUGAGACAGUUCGGUCCCUA